UCUAGCCAGGUUGGCCAUUGUUAGCACUACCAGUUGAUAGCAAUGCAUUUUGUGGUAUUUUGCACGUGCAAACACCGUAGCAACAUGUACACAGAUAGAAGAUCGACAGUAGCCUACUGUGUUUUCGGCUGAUUUAAUGAGAGAAAAACAAUGCAGUGCUAAAAACAGUAUAUUCAUACAUAUAUGUUACUACUGUUGAUGCUCGGAGCAGCCAUGUUGGAUUUUAAGGUCGGGGCAAGUUCUUUGGUCAGGGUUGGUGCGGUUCUCCCGAACUUCCGAGUGGGAAAUCCGACUUCAAGGGGUGUUCCAAAUAACAUUUCCGACCAGGAACCGUGCUUUCCAGUUCAACUGAAAUGCAGCAUCAAAACGCGCGUCGGUCGGUAACAAUAUGUCAAUGGUAACAAUCAAGGAUCCUGCGUCAUCUUGGAAUAUAUAAUUGAUUUACGCCUCUGAAAUCCUGGAUCAGCAAUGAAGGCACCUCAACUCUGCCCCACUCUCCUCAGUCAGUUGGACGUUUUUCUGAAGAAAGGUGGCAAGACCGUAGCGACCCUUGUUCCAUUCAACUCCAAACUUCAACCAACACAGAUCUUGCUGUAAGGUGUUUAAGACCAGACCCACUACACAUGCAUGCACAAGUGACAAUGGAAGCACUGUGCACUGGCAUCAGCUGAACCAGAGCUGCCAGCCUUGUCUCCUCUACACACUCUAUUUUCUGCUGACGAGGGCCAAGCCAAAGUGCAAAAGUGGAACAAACACCUAAAUAUAACAAAAACCUGUUUACUGCCCCAUAAUCAGCAAUGUGCUCAUGUGUUUAGUCCACAUUUACACAAUGCAUGGCUGUGAGUGGGUGCAUGUUAGAAUUUUUACUUGAAUUAGGCUAACAAACUUAGCUUAUAUGUUGUGUGCUUUGAUGCGACACAAAGCUUUGUUUAGCUGUGUGUAGUUGUGUGCCUGAAUAUUGUCCUGGUGUAUUGCAAGUCUAUAGCUUUGGGGCUUAUGAGUUCUUUUCUGGUAUAUACAGUAGCCUAUGUGUUCAGUCUUUCAAUUAACUAUUAAAAACAACAUCUGCUUUGGAGAAUUCCUUGUCAAGCUCUGAAUCCUGAAGCAGCAAAGAGGCUUGAAGAACCAUUUAAUAUAGGCUCCUGCUGCCACUGAA